rnacentral:tRNA from 1 species
GGGGAUUUAGCUAAGUGGUAGAGCGCUUGCCUAGCAAGCGCAAGGCCCUGGGUUCGGUCCCCAGCUCCA